GAUGAACGCUGGCGGCGUGCCUAAUACAUGCAAGUCGAGCGAACAGAUGAGCUGCUUGCUGCUCGGAAGUUAGCGACGGGCGAGUAAGUCACACGUAGAUAACCUGCCUAUAAGACUAGGAUAACUUCGGGAAACCUGAGAUAACACAGGAUAAGAUAUUGAACCGCAUGGUUCUAUAGAGAAAGACGGUUUUGAUCUCACUUAUAGAUGGAUGCGCGCCGGAUUAGCUAGUUGGUAAGGUAACGGCUUACCAAGGCAACGAUGCGUAGCCGACCUGAGAGGGUGAUCGGCCACACUGGAACUGAGACACGGUCCAGACUCCUACGGGAGGCAGCAGUAGGGAAUCUUGCGCAAUGGGCGAAAGCCUGACGGAGCAAUGCCGCGUGAGUGAUGAAGGUCUUCGGAUCGUAAAACUCUGUUAUUAGGGAAGAACAAAUGUGUGAGUAACUAUGCACUUGUUGACGGUACCUGAACAGAAAGCCACGGCUAACUACGUG
rnacentral:rRNA from 1 species